ensembl:snoRNA
UUGUAAUGAUGUUGAUCAAAUGUCUGACCUGAAGUGAGCAUGUAGACGAAUUUAACACUGAAUAA